UUAGUCUUUUUGGGCAGACGUUUGGUAAACCAAAAUCUGUCCAAAAGAUGUUUUUUUUUUCCUACCUAAGAGUUCAUUUCUCACACAUUUGGAGAUCAUCCUUUACACUCUAAGAAAGACACAACUAAAAAAAGUAAAAAGGCCUCUGCUAAACAUCAAAGUAAGUUGAAGAAAUGAAAUCUUUGUGAGUGAUCUUCUGAGUGCAUAAUCUUUGAGAAAACAAAAGAUCUUGUUUUUUAACUUCUGAAAUUACAUAGUUUCUAGCCUCCGGUGCUUCUUGCUAGAUUUUCUGGGGUAUUCUUGGGUUCUGCUACUGCUGAUUUGCUGCUGCUUUUCACUGCUGGUUCUGCUUGUUGGUCCCAAGUAGCUUUGAUAUCAAAAGAUUUUCUUGUUGUUUCUUUCUCGAAAUUCUACAACAAGGAUUAUGUACCACACUCUUAUUGGAUCAAGUCGUUCGCCUUGGCAAGAUUAUGUACCACACUCUUAUGGGAUCGGAUCGUUCGCCUCGACAGUAUUAUGUACCACACUCUUAUGGGAUUGGGCCGUUCGCCUCAGCAGAACCGUGUGUAAUAUUUGACAAGAAGCCUUGUAUCCGUGAGUUUUCCUGACUUGAGUUGUGAUGACCUAUCUGGUAGGGACCAUAUUAUAUACUCCAUUUGAGGAAGUGAUCGAUAUUUGAGGACUUGUGUUUACUGUUCAGAUGACUAUUGUAUCAUGUACAUAUAUUUGUUUUAACUUUUUAAUUACCAUGCUUCAUACUUGUUUA